rnacentral:rRNA from 1 species
CAACUCGCCUGCAUGAAGUUGGAAUUGCUAGUAAUCGCGAAUCAGAAUGUCGCGGUGAAUACGUUCCCGGGCCUUGUACACACCGCCCGUCACACCAUGAGAGUCGGUAACACCCGAAGCCUGUGAGCUAACCGUAAGGAGGCAGCAGUCGAAGGUGGGGUUNAUGAUUGGGGUGAAGUCGUAACAAGGUAUC